rnacentral:rRNA from 1 species
AUGCAUCCGAGUAAAUCUCCAGGUGUUGAUGGGUUCACGGCUGGGUUCUAUAUUAAGCAUUGGAACAUCCUGAAGAGCUCAGUAUGUCAUGCUAUCCGAGAGUUUUUUAUAACAGGAAUAUUGCCAGAUGUGGUUAAUAAUACGGUGUUGGUUCUCAUUCCCAAGAUUAAAAACCCACAGAACCUGGCUCAAUACCGACCGGUAUCUCUUUGCAACGUCUUGUAUAAGAUAAUUGCUAAGGUACUUGCUCUCAGGUUGAGGCCUUUUUUGGAAGAGAUUAUUUCGAAGGAACAAAGCGCCUUUGUCCCCGGAAGACUUAUAUCAGACAAUGUAUUAACUGCAUAUGAGUGUAUACACUACUUGAAAAGGAAAAAAAGGAAAAAGUGUUGA